rnacentral:lncRNA from 10 species
GGAUAAGCCAAACCUCUACCUCAUUGCCACAUAAUCAAGUCUCUUGCCAGGGAUCACUUAGGUAGCAUGGAAAGUUUCCAGGGUUAACCUCAGAGGCAGUUUAAAUAUGCCCCUGCCCAUGAGGGGGGACCCUCUUCCUUUUCUUGUGGGAAAACAUGCAGAAGACCUUCCUGGGCUGUAAAACAACAACUUUGGCCAGAGUCCUUCCAGAGGCAGAAGCACCAGCUUCAACCAAAGCCAUCUCCAGCCUGGAGACCUCCGGCCUGCAGUGAACGUGCCCAGAGAAUGCAGGUCAGCUGGACACCAGAAGUGGAAGUGGAAAGGCUGUGGGCUAUUGUCACUGAACUAGAGAUGGAUGGGAACAGGCCGGUCUCUCAAACUUGGGAGGUGAGAACCAGACACCCCCAAAUCCCACGAGCCAGAAAGAGCUACUGAGACCAUCCUCAUGAACACUUCUCUUUGUAUGUUUUAGAGAUUUAACCAUACAUAGUAUGCAACUUUAUAUGCAUAUGGUGUGAGUUUUAGAUAACUAGAAUCUUGUUGUUUAGGAUGUUUUCUGUUCAGCAAUAUGUGGUGGAUACAUCUCAAUCUGAAGAAAUAAAAGAUCUGCAUCAGUGGGGCCGGUGGUGCUAACGCAUGUCUGUAAUCCCAGCACUUUGGGAUGCUGAGGUGGGAGGAUCACCUGAGGUCAGGAGUUCGAGACCAGCCUGGCCAACAUGGUGAAACCCCGUCUCUACUAAAAAUACAAAAAUUAGCCUGGUGCAGUGGUGCGCACCUAUAGUCCCAGGUACUCAUGAGGCUGAGGCAGGAGAAUUGCUUGAACCUGGGAAGCAGAGGUUGCAGUGAGCCAAGAUCGUGCCAUUGCACUCCAGCCUGGGCAACAGAGUGAGACUCUGUCUCAAAAAACAAAAAGCAAACAAACAAACAAAAAACACCAAGAUCUGCAUCAGCGGCGGUACUGAACACAGGUACAAUUUCACGGCUUCCUAAUGUGUUGUAUCCAUUUACAGUCCUAACAGCAGGAUGUGAAAUCGCUCAUAUUUUCUAAACCUUUCCUACACUUGGUUUUAUCACUCUGUUUAUUCUUUGCCAAUCUAAAACUGUUCCAAUACAAUGUAAAAUUUAAAUUUAAAUAAAAUGUGCAUUUCGCUGAUUAAUGUAAGUUGGAAUAUCAUUAUCUUUUCAUAGUUCUUGGGCAAUUAUAUUUCUUCUCUCAGAUUUACACAGUCAUGUCCUCCCCAUUUUUCAAUGUGACCAUUUAGUUCUUACUGAAAAGUAAGUGCACAUUUUAUAACAGGAAUAUUAACCCUUUGUCUUUUUUUUUUCUUUUUGUAGAAUUUUGCAAAAUCUUUGUGGCUGGUCUCUCCACUCUGAUUUUAAUGAUAGUCUUGUUUUGUUUGUUUUUAAAAAAAACACUAUGCUGCAGUUUUAAAUUUCUUUGUAGACAAAUCUUCCGUCUGUGACUUGAUAGAAAAGAAGACAGAUGAGUGUGAACAGAUGGAGGGGAUCCGGGGUGGAUUGGGCAGGAGGGUCUCAUGGCCCUGUGCAGAGUGGAGCUCACCUGUGAAUUCUGACAGGUAAUCCCAGCCACAGUCCAAUAACUGCUGGCAACGGUGAACAAAGGAAAGCUUCUGUGCCUCAGGUGAAACGGGAGUCUAGAAAAAGUUAAUGAAAG